rnacentral:misc_RNA from 1 species
GAUGAAGAGCGUAGCGAAAUGCGAUAAGUAAUGUGAAUUGCAGAAUUCAGUGAAUCAUCGAAUCUUUGAACGCACAUUGCGCCCGCCAGUAUUCUGGCGGGCAUGCCUGUUCGAGCGUCAUUACAACCCUCAGGCCCCCGGGCCUGGCGUUGGGGAUCGGCGGAAGCCCCCUGCGGGCACAACGCCGUCCCCCAAAUACAGUGGCGGUCCCGCCGCAGCUUCCAUUGCGUAGUAGCUAACACCUCGCAACUGGAGAGCGGCGCGGCCACGCCGUAAAACACCCAACUUCUGAAUGUUGACCUCGAAUCAGGUAGGAAUACCCGCUGAACUUAAGCAUAUCAAUAAGCGGAGGA